rnacentral:rRNA from 1 species
AUUGAACGCUGGCGGCAUGCUUUACACAUGCAAGUCGAACGGCAGCACGGGUGCUUGCACCUGGUGGCGAGUGGCGAACGGGUGAGUAAUGCAUCGGAACGUGCCCAUGAGUGGGGGAUAGCCCGGCGAAAGCCGGAUUAAUACCGCAUACGCCCUUAGGGGGAAAGCGGGGGAUCUUCGGACCUCGCGCUAUUGGAGCGGCCGAUGUCGGAUUAGCUAGUAGGUGAGGUAAAGGCUCACCUAGGCGACGAUCCGUAGCUGGUCUGAGAGGAUGAUCAGCCACACUGGGACUGAGACACGGCCCAGACUCCUACGGGAGGCAGCAGUGGGGAAUUUUGGACAAUGGGCGCAAGCCUGAUCCAGCCAUGCCGCGUGAGUGAAGAAGGCCUCGUGUAGUA